UCAUGACAAAAUCUCAAACCUCUUCACCAACUCCUCAUAAAUAUUUACAAGAAGAUGAUGUAAGUGAAGAUUGUAAGAAAUUGCUUUCUACCCUACCAAAAGAAAGAGGAUGGGUUGGAUCUUAUGUGUAUAAUUAUCAAGGCUUUUGGGCAUUACCAAGACUUAUCCAAGGGGUGAUUGCAUGUCAACGACAAUAUCAAGCUCAAGAUAAUGAUAUCAUUCUCG
rnacentral:misc_RNA from 1 species